CAAGUCGAACGCGAAAGUCCCCUCGGGGGCAAGUAGAGUGGCGCACGGGUGAGUAACACGUAGGUAAUCUACCUUCGGAUGGGGAAUAACAACCGGAAACGGUUGCUAAUACCGCAUAAUGCAGCGGCACCUAAUGGUGACAGUUGUUAAAGCGGGGGAUCGAAAGACCUCGCGUCUGAAGAGGAGCCUGCGGCGGAUUAGCUAGUUGGUAGGGUAACGGCCUACCAAGGCGACGAUCCGUAGCCGGCCUGAGAGGGCGGUCGGCCACACUGACACUGACAUACGGGUCAGACUCCUACGGGAGGCAGCAGUCGGGAAUUUUGGGCAAUGGGCGAAAGCCUGACCCAGCAACGCCGCGUGAAGGAUGAAAUCCCUCGGGAUGUAAACUUCGCAAGAACGGGAAGAAUAAGUCUGCGUGAAUACCGCAGGCGAUGACGGUACCGUUUGUAAGCUCCGGCUAACUCCGUGCCAGCAGCCGCGGUAAUACGGGGGGAGCAAGCGUUGUUCGGAUUUACUGGGCGUAAAGGGCGCGUAGGCGGCCACUGCAAGUCAAUUGUGAAAUCUCCGGGCUUAACUCGGAAAGGUCAACUGAUACUGCAGGGCUAGAGUGCGGAAGGGGCAACUGGAAUUCUCGGUGUAGCGGUGAAAUGCGUAGAUAUCGAGAGGAACACCUGCGGCGAAGGCGGGUUGCUGGGCCGACACUGACGCUGAGUGCGCGAAAGCUAGGGGAGCGAACGGGAUUAGAUACCCCGGUAGUCCUAGCCUUAAACGAUGAAUGCUUGGUGUCUGGGGUUUUAUA
rnacentral:rRNA from 1 species